UCGCGGCGGUGGCUUUGUGCCACUUUUCCCAGGGCUUGGGCAUCAUUCUGGACCCAUGUUCGGUGAACCGGUUACUCUCAGAGCUGCUUUCGGGCGCAGCUCCUGCUGCAGCCAGGGCCCGUUUUAAGAGAGGCUUCCAGGUCCAGCCCUCCCGCUGCAGCCUGCAGGGAGCGAGCCGGCCUGUCCCGAUGACAUAGACACUAGGUUUUUACAGCAAUUCUCUGAUGACCUUGAUAUGGUAGAACGCUGUGUAUUUCAAGAGUAAGCUCUCGUUUGAGGAGACUAACAAUUCCUGUUUUCGCCAGUGCCACCUGUGAUAUAUGUGAAGUUCCUGAAAUACCUAAGUCCAAGUUACAGCUCUGUCAUAUUCUACUGAUUAUUUGUUCCUGUACCUGUACAAGAUUUCUUCUUGAAUGGCAACCUAAAUGCCAGUCCAAAGAGGCCCCCAAUAGACUUGUUCACCCUUCAUGUCCUCAACUCUGGGGAAGUUAAGUAAUCAAGUUGAAGAAACACUUCCACUACUUAAAAAGGUACCUGCAAAUUACUUUCACAUUUGUUCAGCUAUCCUAAUGGGAUUUUCACUUAGUAAAUCUGCUACUCAGGUAUCUGCUAUACAUAUGGAUUCAAAAGUGGAUGAUCACUUAAUACGAGGGACUGAAAAAAGCAGGUUGGAACCAGCGACUCAGUUAUUUCAAAACACCAAGAAAAUAAGAUUAGAAGACACAAAUCAAGAAAACUUUACAAGGAUUGAAGGGACUGGCACAGGAUCUCUUUCUGGGAAAGCCUUGGGUUCAGUGGUAUAUGUCAAAGAAAGUGAUGGACUAGAAAUGACAGAUGUGGAAUGAAGCAAUUUGUACGUAUUACCAAAGAAACCAAAAACUGCCUUUGACUAAGGGGGGUGUUGAAAGAGAACUUAACCUUAUUAGGAAACCCUGACAAAAUGAUGGAAGACUAUUGCCUUAUUUUGCACUAUUUGUGAAUCAUCUUACACUGCAUUUUUUUAUGAUGCUUAUUCAAAAGGCAGUUGCUUUAGGGUGAAAAAGCCUUCCAAGAUUCAA
rnacentral:lncRNA from 1 species